UACGUAGGGGGCUAGCGUUGUCCGGAAUCAUUGGGCGUAAAGCGCGUGUAGGCGGUCCGGUAAGUCCGCUGUGAAAGUCGAGGGCUCAACCCUCGAAUGCCGGUGGAUACUGUCGGGCUUGAGUACGGGAGAGGCGAGUGGAAUUCCUGGUGUAGCGGUGAAAUGCGUAGAUAUCUGGAGGAACACCGGUGGCGAAGGCGGCAUCCUGGACCGGCAUUGACGCUGAGGAGCGAAAGCCAGGGGAGCAAACGGG
rnacentral:rRNA from 1 species